AUUGAACGCUGGCGGCAUGCUUUACACAUGCAAGUCGAACGGUAACAGGCCGCAAGGUGCUGACGAGUGGCGAACGGGUGAGUAAUGCAUCGGAACGUGCCCAGUCGUGGGGGAUAACUACUCGAAAGAGUAGCUAAUACCGCAUACGAUCUAUGGAUGAAAGCGGGGGACCGUAAGGCCUCGCGCGAUUGGGGCGGCCGAUGUCAGAUUAGGUAGUUGGUGGGGUAAAGGCUCACCAAGCCAACGAUCUGUAGCUGGUCUGAGAGGACGACCAGCCACACUGGGACUGAGACACGGCCCAGACUCCUACGGGAGGCAGCAGUGGGGAAUUUUGGACAAUGGGCGCAAGCCUGAUCCAGCAAUGCCGCGUGCAGGAAGAAGGCCUUCGGGUUGUAAACUGCUUUUGUACGGAACGAAACGGCUCUGGUUAAUACCCGGGGCUAAUGGCGGUACCGUAAGAAUAAGCACCGGCUAACUACGUG
rnacentral:rRNA from 1 species